rnacentral:tRNA from 1 species
GGACGGUUAGCUCAGUGGUAGAGCGUCUGCCUUACAAGCAGAGGGCCACUGGUUCAAGUCCAGUACCGUCCA